CCUACGGGCGGCAGCAGUGAGGAAUAUUGGUCAAUGGACGAGAGUCUGAACCAGCCAAGUAGCGUGAAGGAUGACUGCCCUAUGGGUUGUAAACUUCUUUUAUAUGGGAAUAAAAUGUUCCACGUGUGGGAUUUUGUAUGUACCAUAUGAAUAAGGAUCGGCUAACUCCGUGCCAGCAGCCGCGGUAAUACGGAGGAUCCGAGCGUUAUCCGGAUUUAUUGGGUUUUAAGGGAGCGUAGGUGGAUUGUUAAGUCAGUUGUGAAAGUUUGCGGCUCAACCGUAAAAUUGCAGUUGAAACUGGCAGUCUUGAGUACAGUAGAGGUGGGCGGAAUUCGUGGUGUAGCGGUGAAAUGCUUAGAUAUCACGAAGAACUCCGAUUGCGAAGGCAGUUCACUGGACUGCAACUGACACUGAGGCUCGAAAGUGUGGGUAUCAAACAGGAUUAGAUACCCGAGUAGUC
rnacentral:rRNA from 1 species